rnacentral:rRNA from 1 species
UGGCUACCUUGUUACGACUUCACCCCAGUCGUGAAUCCUACCGUGGUAAUCGCCCCCCUUGCGGUUAGGCUAACUACUUCUGGUAAAACCCACUCCCAUGGUGUGACGGGCGGUGUGUACAAGACCCGGGAACGUAUUCACCGCGACAUGCUGAUCCGCGAUUACUAGCGAUUCCGACUUCACGCAGUCGAGUUGCAGACUGCGAUCCGGACUACGAUCGGGUUUCUGGGAUUGGCUCCCCCUCGCGGGUUGGCGACCCUCUGUCCCGACCAUUGUAUGACGUGUGAAGCCCUACCCAUAAGGGCCAUGAGGACUUGACGUCAUCCCCACCUUCCUCCGGUUUGUCACCGGCAGUCUCAUUAGAGUGCCCUUUCGUAGCAACUAAUGACAAGGGUUGCGCUCGUUGCGGGACUUAACCCAACAUCUCACGACACGAGCUGACGACAGCCAUGCAGCACCUGUGUUCCGGUUCUCUUGCGAGCACUGCCAAAUCUCUUCGGCAUUCCAGACAUGUCAAGGGUAGGUAAGGUUUUUCGCGUUGCAUCGAAUUAAUCCACAUCAUCCACCGCUUGUGCGGGUCCCCGUCAAUUCCUUUGAGUUUUAAUCUUGCGACCGUACUCCCCAGGCGGUCAACUUCACGCGUUAGCUGCGCUACCAAGGCCCGAAGGCCCCAACAGCUAGUUGACAUCGUUUAGGGCGUGGACUACCAGGGUAUCUAAUCCUGUUAAU